rnacentral:rRNA from 1 species
UACAGAGGGGGCAAGCGUUGUUCGGAAUUACUGGGCGUAAAGGGCGCGUAGGCGGUCGUGUGCGUCGGAGGUGAAAUCCCCGGGCUUAACCCGGGAGCUGCCUCCGAUACGGCACGGCUUGAGUCCGGGAGAGGGGAGCAGAAUUCCCAGUGUAGCGGUGAAAUGCGUAGAUAUUGGGAGGAAUACCAGUGGCGAAGGCGGCUCCCUGGACCGGUACUGACGCUGAGGCGCGAAAGCGUGGGUAGCAAACAGG